GAUGAACGCUGGCGGCGUGCUUAAUACAUGCAAGUCGAACGGAGAAUAGCAAUACUCUCAGUGGCGAACGGGCGAGUAACGAGUUGGUGACCUGCCCCGAAGUGUGGGAUAACAGUCCGAAAGGAUUGCUAAUACCGCAUGUGAUCAUUGGAUUUAGAAACUGAUGAUUAAAGCAGUAAUGCGCUUCGGGAGGACCUGCUUCCCAUCAGCUAGUUGGUGAGGUAAUGGCCCACCAAGGCUACGACGGGUAAGGGACCUGAGAGGGUGGUCCCUCGCAAUGGCACUGAAACACGGGCCAUACACCUACGGGUGGCAGCAGUAGGGAAUAUUGGGCAAUGGGCGAAAGCCUGACCCAGCAACGCCGCGUGCACGAUGAAGGCCUUCGGGUCGUAAAGUGCUUUUCUGAGGAAUGAGUAA
rnacentral:rRNA from 1 species